AUACAGCAGCACAUUGAAGUGCAUUCGGCAUUUAAGUUAAAGUAUGGCGUUCAAAAAUAAGUCGGUUAUUAUGUUCUUUUUCGUCAUACUUUUGGUCAACAACCCUGGACUUCUCCCAGUGGUAGGGGGAGAUUCUCGAUGCUGGAAUCUGAAUGGUAGAUGUCAAUAUAAAUCGGAACCUUGUGCAAAAUAUAAACCGGGAUUAUGUGGUGGCCCAACCAAUAGACAAUGUUGUGUUAUCGGAGCUGAUGUACAAUGCUGGAGAAAAGGUGGUUGGUGCCGAAAUUAUUCCCGUUCCUCUAAAUGUAGAUUUCUAAAAGGUCUAUGUGGAGGGGGUCGGUCACGCCAAUGUUGUGUACCUAAGUAAUCUUGGAAAUAAAAUUAUAAACAACUUGA